GCGCUUUCGGGUGUCGCUGAUGGAUGGACCCGCGGUGCAUUAGCUAGUUGGUGAGGUAACGGCUCACCAAGGCGACGAUGCAUAGCCGACCUGAGAGGGUGAUCGGCCACAUUGGGACUGAGACACGGCCCAAACUCCUACGGGAGGCAGCAGUAGGGAAUCUUCGGCAAUGGACGAAAGUCUGACCGAGCAACGCCGCGUGAGUGAAGAAGGUUUUCGGAUCGUAAAACUCUGUUGUUAGAGAAGAACAAGGAUGAGAGUAACUGUUCAUCCCUUGACGGUAUCUAACCAGAAAGCCACGGCUAACUACGUGCCAGCAGCCGCGGUAAUACGUAGGUGGCAAGCGUUGUCCGGAUUUAUUGGGCGUAAAGCGAGCGCAGGCGGUUUCUUAAGUCUGAUGUGAAAGCCCCCGGCUCAACCGGGGAGGGUCAUUGGAAACUGGGAGACUUGAGUGCAGAAGAGGAGAGUGGAAUUCCAUGUGUAGCGGUGAAAUGCGUAGAUAUAUGGAGGAACACCAGUGGCGAAGGCGGCUCUCUGGUCUGUAACUGACGCUGAGGCUCGAAAGCGUGGGGAGCAAACAGGAUUAGAUACCCUGGUAGUCCACGCCGUAAACGAUGAGUGCUAAGUGUUGGAGGGUUUCCGCCCUUCAGUGCUGCAGCUAACGCAUUAAGCACUCCGCCUGGGGAGUACGACCGCAAGGUUGAAACUCAAAGGAAUUGACGGGGGCCCGCACAAGCGGUGGAGCAUGUGGUUUAAUUCGAAGCAACGCGAAGAACCUUACCAGGUCUUGACAUCCUUUGACCACUCUAGAGAUAGAGCUUCCCCUUCGGGGGCAAAGUGACAGGUGGUGCAUGGUUGUCGUCAGCUCGUGUCGUGAGAUGUUGGGUUAAGUCCCGCAACGAGCGCAACCCUUAUUGUUAGUUGCCAUCAUUUAGUUGGGCACUCUAGCAAGACUGCCGGUGACAAACCGGAGGAAGGUGGGGAUGACGUCAAAUCAUCAUGCCCCUUAUGACCUGGGCUACACACGUGCUACAAUGGGAAGUACAACGAGUCGCAAAGUCGCGAGGCUAAGCUAAUCUCUUAAAGCUUCUCUCAGUUCGGAUUGUAGGCUGCAACUCGCCUACAUGAAGCCGGAAUCGCUAGUAAUCGCGGAUCAGCACGCCGCGGUGAAUACGUUCCCGGGCCUUGUACACACCGCCCGUCACACCACGAGAGUUUGUAACACCCGAAGUCGGUGAGGUAACCUUUUGGAGCCAGCCGCCUAAGGUGGGAUAGAUGAUUGGGGUGAAGUCGUAACAAGGUAGCCGUAUCGGAAGGUGCGGCUGGAUCA
rnacentral:rRNA from 1 species